rnacentral:lncRNA from 1 species
UUGGUCUUAGACUGGAAUUUAUUUCAGAAACAUUGGUAAUUUCAGCAACACCGAGUAUUUUUUGCAGUGGCAGAAACAUGCGAAGGAUGUGUCAAUGUUCACCGGAUAUUGAAAUGUUGCCCGAAAACGAAAAAAAGGCCUUGCAAAAAAAAAAAAAAAAAAAUUCUGGAGAACCAAAACAAUAAAAUUGAAUAAGAAGAAAUGCGGGACAAAAAAAAACUAAACCUGUUGAAAUCAAUGGCGAGAGGAGAGAGAGAGAGCGAUGUGAAUUGGUUGAAUAAAUUUAGGAUUGUAAAAAGAGGAAAGAGAGAAUCGAGAAGAGAAAAGAAGGGUCUAGAAGGAAAGAAUACCUGAGAAAGCUUCACCGUUGAGAAGAAAUGGAUAUUGAUUUUAGGGUUUAUUUGGAAAGCUUCUUUUUUCCUCUUCUUGAAUC